UUAAGCGACUAAGCGUACACGGUGGAUGCCCUGGCAGUCAGAGGCGAUGAAGGACGUGCUAAUCUGCGAAAAGCGUCGGUAAGGUGAUAUGAACCGUUACAGCCGGCGAUGUCCGAAUGGGGAAACCCAGUGCAAUUCGUUGCACUAUCGUUAACUGAAUACAUAGGUUAACGAGGCGAACCGGGGGAACUGAAACAUCUAAGUACCCCGAGGAAAAGAAAUCAACCGAGAUUCCCCCAGUAGCGGCGAGCGAACGGGGAGCAGCCCAGAGUCUGAAUCAGCUUGUGUGUUAGUGGAACGGUCUGGAAAGUCCGACGGUACAGGGUGAUAGUCCCGUACACCAAAAUGCACAGGUUGUGAACUCGAAGAGUAGGGCGGGACACGUGGUAUCCUGUCUGAAUAUGGGGGGACCAUCCUCCAAGGCUAAAUACUCCUGACUGACCGAUAGUGAACCAGUACCGUGAGGGAAAGGCGAAAAGAACCCCGGCGAGGGGAGUGAAAAAGAACCUGAAACCGUGUACGUACAAGCAGUGGGAGCACCUUCGGGUGUGACUGCGUACCUUUUGUAUAAUGGGUCAGCGACUUAUAUUCUGUAGCAAGGUUAACCGUAUAGGGGAGCCGCAGGGAAACCGAGUCUUAACUGGGCGUUAAGUUGCAGGGUAUAGACCCGAAACCCGGUGAUCUAGCCAUGGGCAGGUUGAAGGUUGGGUAACACUAACUGGAGGACCGAACCGACUAAUGUUGAAAAAUUAGCGGAUGACUUGUGGCUGGGGGUGAAAGGCCAAUCAAACCGGGAGAUAGCUGGUUCUCCCCGAAAGCUAUUUAGGUAGCGCCUCGUGAACUCAUCUUCGGGGGUAGAGCACUGUUUCGGCUAGGGGGUCAUCCCGACUUACCAACCCGAUGCAAACUACGAAUACCGAAGAAUGUUAUCACGGGAGACACACGGCGGGUGCUAACGUCCGUCGUGAAGAGGGAAACAACCCAGACCGCCAGCUAAGGUCCCAAAGUCAUGGUUAAGUGGGAAACGAUGUGGGAAGGCACAGACAGCCAGGAUGUUGGCUUAGAAGCAGCCAUCAUUUAAAGAAAGCGUAAUAGCUCACUGGUCGAGUCGGCCUGCGCGGAAGAUGUAACGGGGCUAAACCAUGCACCGAAGCUGCGGCAGCGACACUAUGUGUUGUUGGGUAGGGGAGCGUUCUGUAAGCCUGCGAAGGUGUGCUGUGAGGCAUGCUGGAGGUAUCAGAAGUGCGAAUGCUGACAUAAGUAACGAUAAAGCGGGUGAAAAGCCCGCUCGCCGGAAGACCAAGGGUUCCUGUCCAACGUUAAUCGGGGCAGGGUGAGUCGACCCCUAAGGCGAGGCCGAAAGGCGUAGUCGAUGGGAAACAGGUUAAUAUUCCUGUACUUGGUGUUACUGCGAAGGGGGGACGGAGAAGGCUAUGUUAGCCGGGCGACGGUUGUCCCGGUUUAAGCAUGUAGGCUGGUUAUCCAGGCAAAUCCGGAUAAUCAAGGCUGAGGUGUGAUGACGAGGCACUACGGUGCUGAAGUAACAAAUGCCCUGCUUCCAGGAAAAGCCUCUAAGCAUCAGGUAACAUCAAAUCGUACCCCAAACCGACACAGGUGGUCAGGUAGAGAAUACCAAGGCGCUUGAGAGAACUCGGGUGAAGGAACUAGGCAAAAUGGUGCCGUAACUUCGGGAGAAGGCACGCUGGUGUGUAGGUGAAGUCCCUGCGGAUGGAGCUGAGACCAGUCGAAGAUACCAGCUGGCUGCAACUGUUUAUUAAAAACACAGCACUGUGCAAACACGAAAGUGGACGUAUACGGUGUGACGCCUGCCCGGUGCCGGAAGGUUAAUUGAUGGGGUUAUCCGUAAGGAGAAGCUCUUGAUCGAAGCCCCGGUAAACGGCGGCCGUAACUAUAACGGUCCUAAGGUAGCGAAAUUCCUUGUCGGGUAAGUUCCGACCUGCACGAAUGGCGUAAUGAUGGCCAGGCUGUCUCCACCCGAGACUCAGUGAAAUUGAACUCGCUGUGAAGAUGCAGUGUACCCGCGGCAAGACGGAAAGACCCCGUGAACCUUUACUAUAGCUUGACACUGAACAUUGAGCCUUGAUGUGUAGGAUAGGUGGGAGGCUUUGAAGCGUGGACGCCAGUCUGCGUGGAGCCAACCUUGAAAUACCACCCUUUAAUGUUUGAUGUUCUAACGUUGGCCCCUGACCGGGGUUGCGGACAGUGUCUGGUGGGUAGUUUGACUGGGGCGGUCUCCUCCCAAAGCGUAACGGAGGAGCACGAAGGUUAGCUAAUCCUGGUCGGACAUCAGGAGGUUAGUGCAAUGGCAUAAGCUAGCUUGACUGCGAGCGUGACGGCGCGAGCAGGUGCGAAAGCAGGUCAUAGUGAUCCGGUGGUUCUGAAUGGAAGGGCCAUCGCUCAACGGAUAAAAGGUACUCCGGGGAUAACAGGCUGAUACCGCCCAAGAGUUCAUAUCGACGGCGGUGUUUGGCACCUCGAUGUCGGCUCAUCACAUCCUGGGGCUGAAGUAGGUCCCAAGGGUAUGGCUGUUCGCCAUUUAAAGUGGUACGCGAGCUGGGUUUAGAACGUCGUGAGACAGUUCGGUCCCUAUCUGCCGUGGGCGCUGGAGAAUUGAGGGGGGCUGCUCCUAGUACGAGAGGACCGGAGUGGACGCAUCACUGGUGUUCGGGUUGUCAUGCCAAUGGCACUGCCCGGUAGCUAAAUGCGGAAGAGAUAAGUGCUGAAAGCAUCUAAGCACGAAACUUGCCCCGAGAUGAGUUCUCCCUGAGACUAUAAGUCUCCUGAAGGAACGUUAAAGACGAUGACGUUGAUAGGCCGGGUGUGUAAGCGCAGCGAUGCGUUGAGCUAACCGGUACUAAUGAACCGUGAGGCUUAACCUU
rnacentral:rRNA from 101 species